AAAUGUAAACAGACAACAUAGUGGAGACGAAGCGGUUGGAAGCUUGUUGACAUUGUUUCUUGUGUAAAGGCAACAGAAAGGCACAAACGUGCGUUGAAACGGAUACUGGGAAGAGUUUCUUUGUCGCCAUCUAGAGACUAAUUCUUACAACGCACCUACAUUCUGUUGGGAAGCUUCGAGAUAUUUAAUUUUUACUUUUGACAAUGGAGUUUGUAGGUGUUAGUAAGAACCCGUGGACGCUAUAAUAAGGAGUUCGUCGUAAACAUAGCUAACGAAGCUACAUUUGGUCAACACCCCUUUCUUGGACGUUGGGCCAACGGAGCAUUGUGUGACUAACUUACGUGCUGCACAGAGUAUAGCAUCAGCGGGCAAGAAGAUAAAACAGAAAGACAUAAAAAAAGGAAAUCGUCAGAAAUCGGAAACAGGCCGGAAACACAUCGAUCUACCUGCUGUAAUUUGUCUUUCCGGUAAGCAAUAUUUGGAUUUAGGUAUUUUGAUUGAUCUCAAUGACUAUUUCGAACAAUUUGAACUAGUUUUUAUAUAAAUUGUGACAUAUUUUGUGAGACCAAAGGAAUCAAAAUAGCUC